CGCCAACCCGCCGUUGUACUAUUCGGUCGUCUAUCACCGCGAUUAUCGCUUUAUGGAGCAGGUAAUCCAGCGUCAUUAGAUCCAAUUCUAACUUCAGCUCGGGGUCAUCUGAAUCUGAUGCCAUAUCUUUCCCCGAAUUCUGGGAGGCUGUAUGUUCUGUCAAUUUCAAGGAGAGCCCUUGUUUGAUUAAAUGGUCGUGUGGUGAUGCUUCAACGACGGUCGUGCAUGGCCCCACGACACACAACCAGAACUGCUUUCGUUUUAUGUUGAAGACGAAUGAAUAAAAUAAAUAGCUGUGUUGAUGGAAGAGUUCACUCUGAGAUGAUCGAAUAAUCAAGCUCCAGUUGCCUGCUCUUCCUUGAAUCCCC
rnacentral:sRNA from 2 species